rnacentral:lncRNA from 10 species
ACUUGAGGCCAGGAGUUCAUGACCAGCCUGGGCUAUAUAGCAAGACGCUGUCUCUCUACCAAUUCUAUAAAUAUUAAAAAAAAAAAAAACUGGGUGUGGUGGUGGCACUUGUACUCCUAGCUACUUGAGAGGCUGAGGUGGGAGGACGGAUUGAUUGAGGCCAGGAGUUUGAGGCUAUCGUGAACCAUAAUUGUCCACUGCAGUCCACCCUGGGGUGACGGACUAAUAGACUCUGUCUCUAAAUAAAUAAAUAUUACAAAAAGAAAAGCACUGAGAUAGGUAA